CCUACGGGGGGCAGCAGUGAGGAAUAUUGGUCAAUGGACGAGAGUCUGAACCAGCCAAGUAGCGUGAAGGAUGACUGCCCUAUGGGUUGUAAACUUCUUUUAUAUGGGAAUAAAACGUUCCACGUGUGGGAUUUUGUAUGUACCAUAUGAAUAAGGAUCGGCUAACUCCGUGCCAGCAGCCGCGGUAAUACGGAGGAUCCGAGCGUUAUCCGGAUUUAUUGGGUUUAAAGGGAGCGUAGGUGGAUUGUUAAGUCAGUUGUGAAAGUUUGCGGCUCAACCGUAAAAUUGCAGUUGAAACUGGCAGUCUUGAGUACAGUAGAGGUGGGCGGAAUUCGUGGUGUAGCGGUGAAAUGCUGAGAUAUCACGAAGAACUCCGAUUGCGAAGGCAGUUCACUGGACUGCAACUGACACUGAGGCUCGAAAGUGUGGGUAUCAAACAGGAUUAGAUACCCUAGUAGUC
rnacentral:rRNA from 1 species